rnacentral:rRNA from 1 species
UGCGUAGGCGGAAUAGUAAGUCAGGGAUGAAAGUUUGCGGCUCAACCGUAAAAUUGCCUUUGAUACUGUUAUUCUUGAGUACAUUUGAGGUAGGCGGAAUGUGUUGUGUAGCGGUGAAAUGCUUAGAUAUAACACAGAACACCGAUUGCGAAGGCAGCUUACUAAACUGUAACUGACGCUGAUGCACGAAAGCGUGGGGAUCGAACA